CCACCCCUAGGCACCCCCUCAAACUAAGUAGUCUUUAGUUUCAAGAGACUUCUUCGUCUCCUGUAUCUUACAGAUCGAUCGAUCGAUAAAAUUCUGCAAUUUCUCCUUGUUCAUGAUAAAUUUUCAGAUCUGAGAAUCGAAAUUUUCUAGGGUAAAACAAUGGAGGAUUCGAAACGGAAGAUUUGGACUGUGUGGAAAAUAGAGUGCAAACGAUGUAAUAAGGAGGUUCGAUCCAAUUACGAUCUACGUCCCCCAUUACCAAGCUCUCCAUCACUAGCAAUGCCUUUUUCACUAUCUUUGAUUGACUUAUGGUGCAAUCCAACCCUUACAAUGCUUUUGGUGACUUACAAUUAAGGAGCACCGAUCCUUUUACACAUUGAGCUUUACGGGACCUCAACACGACCCACAAUUCAAUGAACAAGAAAAUCAAGGUUACACUUGAAAAGCUUCUCUCUUAACAAAUGAUAUGAAUACAACGAAGUAUUAAGAGAGAGGUAGGCACAACGCCUCAAUAAAUCACAAAAAAUAUAACUCAAGUUGUUCUGCGAAAGAUUUUUAUCGAGAUAUAUGAUUUUUUACAAAGUUACUUACUCAAAAUUUUUUUUCAACAAAUAAAUAUUUUGACCUUUUAAAAAUUGAGAAAUAAGGUACAUAAGAUUAAUAAGUAACUCUCUUUAAUGCUCUAAAAAAUCACUCUUUAAGGAAGUAAAAAGAAAGGUAUUUAUAGCCAUCAAUCGGGAGAUCCAGACACUUGAUUCGGACGUCCUCUUGGUAUCCGGACGUGAAACUAGCCAUUUGUCAAAUAGUUAAAAAAUUUGACCGUUGGACAUCUCAUCCUGACGUCCGGACGACCCUAUCCGGACAUCCGGAUGGCCUUUUAUUUUCCCACCAAGCUUUUUCCUUUUUAUUAAAGAAAGUUUCUUUAAGGUAUUUUAACGGAUUUCUUAUAUACUUUUUAUAGUUAAGUAAUUUCAUAAAGGUUUGAUUUGUGAAAAUUAAAUUACUUAUCUUUUGAAAAAUAAUUUUUAUGCAAGUAAAGUUUGUUAUAAUAAUUCCUGCGCAUAAAGGUUGUUUGAGCUAUGAUCGAAGCGAAAUAUUAAAGUGUUUUACCUUUACACUUAAGUAUACAAAUGCAUCUAUAGCUAAUGUCUUCAAUUUUUUCAUCCAAUGCAAUUUGGUGUGUGAGAGCUCGAUUUUCAUUUCCUUGUUCGUAAAUCUUGUCUGUAUAUCAUUUUGCACUAAGGUUACAUGAUUCUCGAACUAAAUUUUUCGUGUCAUAAAUUUGCAAUAAUCACCGUCAAUCACUUAAAUUCAAUUUGUUAGAAUUAAACGCAAUUUAUUUGUAAUAAUCAAAAUAAGAAAUCAACCAUUAGGUCAACAUUAGGUAAUAUUGAUGAAGCUACCGCGAAGACUAUGAAAUUAGAAAUGGAGAACAAUUUGAAGAAAUGACUUUAGUUUUUUGUGUAUUGACCCCUAACCGAAUUGUUUGGGAUUCAAAAGUGAAAGAAAUCAUUUUAUAUACUAAAAGUGGUCAAAUUGGCGUAUUAUCAAAUCAUGCCUCUAUUGCUACAGCUGUAGAUAUUGAGAUUUUGAGAAUACGCUUCAAGGACCAAUGGUUAAUGAUGGCUCUGAUGGGUGGUUUUGCUAAAAUAGUAAAUAAUGAGAUCAUCUUGAGCUAGCACAAAAAAAAAAAGCAAGAAAAUCGCUUUUUAAUGUCAAUGAUCAGUACCAGUAAAUAAAAUAUAAUGGAAGAAAGAACCCUAUUCACUAUCUAAGCAAAUUGGCCAAAGUUGUGCGUUCAUGAGCCCAUGCUAAACUUCCAGGAACAUUUCAUUUCACAUAUUUCUCUUCAAAAAUGAAAAAUGCGUAUUUUUCUUUAAUUUUCGAACUAAAAUGUAUGUAAAUCAAAUGAAAGUAAGCGGGUCAACCCGCAAGACCGAUCAAUAUCCACGGACCUUUCCCUUCUCUUUGUUCCCACGCUAAGCUUGUAAUCACAACAAACGUGGCAAACUCCUAUUGGCCUACUUCACGUGGCGUGAAAUAUUAUUGGCUGAAGCAACUCGACGCACAGUUCCCCAGAUUUAUGGUGUAUAAUAAUAUGUUUACACAGAUAUAUAAAUAAUUAAUAUCACCCCACCCCUACGCACCCCCUCAAACUAAGUAGUCUUUAGUUUCAAGAGACUUCUUCGUCUCCUGUACGCUCUUACAGAUCGAUCGAUCGAUAAAAUUCUGCAUUUUCUCCUCGUUCAUGAUAAAUUUUCAGAUCUGAGAAUCGAAAUUUUCUAGGGUAAAACAAUGGAGGAUUCGAAACGGAAGAUUUGGACUGUGCAGUGUGUCUUGCUUUUGUUGAUCGGUUUAUGCAUUUCUCAGCUCUACGCUUCCGACGAUGUGGUAAGACGCUGUCUAUUUGUACGGAAAAGUGUAGUUUGGCUGAAUACAAAAAUUAGUUUCAUCAACUUGCGUAUGGGUAGGCAGCUGCAAUAACAUGGGAUCUGAUUUAGAUUAUUUGCCAUUUUCUGGAUCUGUGGUCUUUAU
rnacentral:lncRNA from 1 species